CUGGGGAAACCCAGGCUAAUACCGCAUACGUCCUACGGGAGAAAGGGGGCUUCGGCUCCCGCUAUUGGAUGAGCCUAUGUCGGAUUAGCUAGUUGGUGAGGUAAAGGCUCACCAAGGCAACGAUCCGUAGCUGGUCUGAGAGGAUGAUCAGCCACAUCGGGACUGAGACACGGCCCGAACUCCUACGGGAGGCAGCAGUGGGGAAUAUUGGACAAUGGGGGCAACCCUGAUCCAGCCAUGCCGCGUGUGUGAAGAAGGCCCUCGGGUUGUAAAGCACUUUCAGCGAGGAAGAACGCCUGGCGGUUAAUACCCGCCAGGAAAGACAUCACUCGCAGAAGAAGCACCGGCUAACUCCGUGCCAGCAGCCGCGGUAAUACGGGGGGUGCAAGCGUUAAUCGGAAUUACUGGGCGUAAAGCGCGCGUAGGUGGCUUGAUAAGCCGGUUGUGAAAGCCCCGGGCUCAACCUGGGAACGGCAUCCGGAACUGUCAGGCUAGAGUGCAGGAGAGGAAGGUAGAAUUCCCGGUGUAGCGGUGAAAUGCGUAGAGAUCGGGAGGAAUACCAGUGGCGAAGGCGGCCUUCUGGACUGACACUGACACUGAGGUGCGAAAGCGUGGGUAGCAAACAGGAUUAGAUACCCUGGUAGUCCACGCCGUAAACGAUGUCGACCAGCCGUUGGGUGCCUAGCGCACUUUGUGGCGAAGUUAACGCGAUAAGUCGACCGCCCGGGGAGUACGGCCGCAAGGUUAAAACUCAAAUGAAUUGACGGGGGCCCGCACAAGCGGUGGAGCAUGUGGUUUAAUUCGAUGCAACGCGAAGAACCUUACCUACCCUUGACAUCCUGCGAACCCGGAAGAGAUUCCGGGGUGCCUUCGGGAACGCAGAGACAGGUGCUGCAUGGCUGUCGUCAGCUCGUGUUGUGAAAUGUUGGGUUAAGUCCCGUAACGAGCGCAACCCUUGUCCUUAUUUGCCAGCGCGUAAUGGCGGGAACUCUAAGGAGACUGCCGGUGACAAACCGGAGGAAGGUGGGGACGACGUCAAGUCAUCAUGGCCCUUACGGGUAGGGCUACACACGUGCUACAAUGGCCGGUACAAAGGGCUGCGAGCUCGCGAGAGUCAGCGAAUCCCUUAAAGCCGGUCUCAGUCCGGAUCGGAGUCUGCAACUCGACUCCGUGAAGUCGGAAUCGCUAGUAAUCGUGAAUCAGWAUGUCACGGUGAAUACGUUCCCGGGCMUUGUACAC
rnacentral:rRNA from 1 species